rnacentral:rRNA from 1 species
GGAAGUAAAAGUCGUAACAAGGUUUCCGUAGGUGAACCUGCGGAAGGAUCAUUACUGAUUUAGCGAACCGAGCGUUAGCGAGGUUUUGCGAUCACUUAUAUUUAAAACCCACUCUUUGAACGUAUAAAAUUUUAUGUAUUAAUGAUAAAAAUAAAAGAUCACUUUCAACAACGGAUCUCUUGGCUCUCGCAUCGAUGAAGAACGUAGCGAAGUGCGAUAAGUAAUGUGAAUUGCAGUAUUCCGUGAAUCAUCGAAUCUUUGAACGCAUAUUGCACUUUCUGGUAUUCCGGAAAGUAUGCCUGUUUGAGGGUCAGUUAAAUAAAAAUCGGUGGUGUUGCUGCCUUGCGUGGCGACACAUCGGAUUUGGGCCGUCUUACCUUCGGUUAAGUGGCUUAAAAUUUUGUAUGAUUUUUGAACGUAUUUAAAUUUAUUUGUACGUUUGAGAUAUCGAAUGUUUAUUAGGUUCGGUCAUUCUAAUGACUCGCGCCUAUAGUUUUUCAUUAAAUGACCUCAAAUCAGGUAAGAAUACCCGCUGAACUUAAGCAUAUCAAUAAGCGGAGGA